GGGGUAGCUCAGUGGUAGAGCGAAUGCUUAGCAAGCACCAGGUCCUGGGUUCAGUCCCCAGGACCUCCA
rnacentral:tRNA from 1 species